rnacentral:tRNA from 1 species
GCCACCUUAGCUCAGUCGGCAGAGCGCAGCUUUCGUAAAGCUGAAGUCCAGGGUUCGAGUCCCUGAGGUGGCUC